UGGAAGUGCCUUUCUUAACUGGCCUGAUUGAUGCGUAGAGAACACCAAUCCUCCCAGCUCAAGGGGCACUUUCCUUAUAUCGACACCCACCUACACAGGCAAUUCAUCGGUGGAUCGAG
rnacentral:sRNA from 18 species